UGAUUCUUGCAAGGGUCUGGGUCAUCAAGAAUCUAGUUUGCGUUGCGCUCUUGAAGAAGCCAUGUUCCUUAAUAAAACUUUUGUUAUGCCUUCGAGGAUGUGCAUUAAUGCAAUACACAAUAAGAAGGGGAUCCUCCAUCAGUUCAGUAAUGCAAGUUCAGAGGAAGGAUGUGCGGGGAGCUCUUGCGCUAUGGAUUCAUUGUAUGGUUAC